CACCAAGUGAAGAAUCUAGAUCUAUGAGCACAAACACACUGGAGAUAUUGGACACUCAGGCAAUGACUGCCCUGAGAUGCUUGAGGACGUAAACUACUUCAACAACAACUACUACUACAACCGUCCUCAACAAAAUCAAGGUUGGAAUCAACAGAGGCCAAACUACUUAGAGACAAUCCAGGACGCCCCGUCAUCCUGAUCUCCAUCGGCAUGGUGGACUUCCUAGAAGCACUCUGCGACUUUGGCUCCAGCCUCAACUUUAUGCUCAGGACUCUAAGCAGAUCAGGACAAGAACAAGAUGACGCAACUGCAACCAGAGGAGGAAAAUCAUCAAGGACGGAUGGGCAGAGUACGAAGGAGAAGUGCACCGAGGCAGGUGUGGAGAAAGAAGAUAGUUAUACAUGAAGAGUAUGCGCCGCCGGAACCACCGACUACGCCAUCUAGCGAAUCUAUUUUAAAAUAGUUUGCUUAGUUAAUCAAGUUCAUAUCAUCUUGAAAAGAAAAUAAAAAUGUUAAAAAUAGUAAGCCCCAUGUGAGUAUGCUCAUGGCAUAAAACCCAUAAGUACAUUCAUUGUGGUGGCAUAAAAAUAAAAUAAAUAUAUAUUCCUGUUGAC
rnacentral:lncRNA from 1 species